GAAAUCUCUUGGGAGCAGGAGUUCUUUCAGGCUCCCAGGGCAUAGCAAGCAAAGCAAGGUAAGUUAUCUUGACACCAAGUCCUCGAGCAGCAGAUCUUUUGGGGAAUGAACAAAGUGCUCUGUAGAGCCAGCCUGGCUUAUCAUCAGAGUCAUCUGUAUCCUUGAAAAGUACAGCUGGGGUUCGGGAAGCUGCAGAGAACACUUCUGUUACACUGACGUGCUUCUCCAAGCAGCGGAAUCAUCAGCGGAAUCAUCAUGACUUCAGUUUGAGGAGGAGUUGCCCUGUUUUCCAGAAGAGGAAUGUGAAUUGCUGAGGAGAAGAGACAUAGGUAAUUGUGCCCCAGUCAGUAUUUUCAGUGCUGAGCAAGUAACCAUCGGUAUCUUCCUAUUGUCCUGCCUGUCAAACUGGACCCCAUGGCAGCAGCCUUUGGUCACAUCUAUUUGAAACUUGGGGAAAGCAGUGAUCAGAAGACAAGUCAAUGGAAGACUUCUCCCAAUUCAGAAAAUUAUAGCAAAUACAUUGAUUAGCUAUUUAUGAUUUUUUCAAAUCGUGGUUGAGAGGCCUAAACAUGGGAUUUGAAGACCGGUGACAGAAGGAACAUUGCUGUGCACAAUCUAAGCCACUACACCUCUUUCACUAUUGAACUGAAGUAAGAGAAUUAACCGUUCCUUUGCCAUGGACUAAACAUGUGUUUACAAAUGGUUAUUGCCCUUCAGCUGAUGUGAGAUACAUAGCAAAGCUGCAAGAAUUUGACAGGAUGUUUGAGUUCUGGUUUGAAACUGGCUUCUACCUAUGUAACUUCUCACUGUGUUCUUCAGUUUCUCAUACACUUCUUCAUGGGUGGAAAAUAAUUUCUUCAUUUGUGAAGGAUGUUGUGCUAAAAAAAUAAUUGCAAGGUGCUUUGAAGAUGUACUUCUCUGUGCCAUAAGUUAAUGACCCAACACCCAUUUGAACAGAGGCCUAUCUGGGUACAUUCUUUUAGGUGGUUGAGUUGUGACACCUUGAAAAAGUCCCAGUCAUUAGACAGCUCUCAGCAGCUGUUCUCUGAAAAUCAGAGCCACUGAAGACGGUCGCAACACUGCUUGUGUUCAGAUGGGUGUCAAAGCGGAUCUGAGAGAGCUUACUUAAAGCAAUGAGAAGCCGUCACUUUCAGGAAAAAAAAAAGAAGAAAAAAGACAAAAAAAAACCCCAUAUCAACAUGCUAAAUAGCCAGAGAUCAGGAGAGACCUAAUCUUCUCCUGUAGGUAACCUCUCUCCUUCUGUGAGGUCCUUACCUAAUAUCUGGUCUUCUUGCAACAUGCAAGGAAAUGUAUAAUCAAACUGGAAUGGCUCUUGCUGUGACAGUUUCCUGUCUCCGGCUGUGUAGAAUUUCUGUAUGAUAACAAUUAUUUCUAAGUAUGAAAUUCACUCCUUUUUGUCACGGAAAAUUCCCACAACUUCUCAUUUCUCAAGGGGAAUUCCAGGCACGCCAAGUGAAAAUUGUUUAAAGGAACAUCUGUUUUCUCUCAUAAAUUAUAUGACAACAUCUUAAUAGAAACACAACCCGCCUGUAUAUACUUCUGUGCUUUCACCCAUUAAUUACAGAGAACAUUAAGGUUCCAUUUUACUGUGCUUUAAACAUCUGGUGCCAAAAGAAGCAGCAAGGAGAAGGGAAGCGUGAUUAUGUUAUUAGACUCCACAGCCUCAAAAUACUGAUCAGCGUUCAUUAUUGUCUGUUGCUUGACGUGAAGCCAGUCUUUAAUGUGCAACUCACUGACUAUACAUAUAUAUAUCUUAUCAAAUAUAUAUUUAAAAGAAAUAUGUAGUCAUAGAUACUGUUUUAUCCUGUUGUGCAGUAUUUUUUAAUAAUCUCAAUUUACCAUAGUUAACAAAAACAUCAUGUGGUCUAAAUUCAGCCAACUUUUAUAAUGAACUUGGUAACAUAUCCAAACUUAAAUCUGAUGUCCCUGAAAUACCUACAAGACUUAGAAUCCAAUACUACAGCACGAAGAGCGUUGCAGUCAAGCUUUUCAUUCAGUCCUGUGGUCUUCAUGUGCUAAAUAACCAGCAGAGGCAGAGCAAUCAGCCGCAGCACCAUGGGAGCGAUCCCUCCUUCACAUUUGCAGUGACUACAGCCAAGGCACGGUGUUGAACGCCCUGUGAUGGUAAGACUCAAUGA